UACGGGGGGAGCAAGCGUUGUUCGGAUUUACUGGGCGUAAAGGGCGCGUAGGCGGCGUGACAAGUCACUUGUGAAAUCUCCGAGCUUAACUCGGAACUGUCAGCUGAUACUGAUGUGCUAGAGUGCGGAAGGGGCAAUCGGAAUUCUUGGUGUAGCGGUGAAAUGCGUAGAUAUCAAGAGGAACACCUGAGGUGAAGACGGGUUGCUGGGCCGACACUGACGCUGAGUGCGCGAAAGCCAGGGGAGCAAACGGG
rnacentral:rRNA from 1 species